UGAGGAAUAUUGGUCAAUGGACGGAAGUCUGAACCAGCCAAAUCGCGUGAAGGAUGGCGGCCCUAUGGGUUGUAAACUUCUUUAGCAGGGGAUUAAAGGCGGGUAUGUAUGCCCGUUUGCAGGUACCCUGAGAAUAAGCAUCGGCUAACUCCGUGCCAGCAGCCGCGGUAAUACGGAGGAUGCGAGCGUUAUCCGGAUUUAUUGGGUUUAAAGGGUGCGUAGGCUGGUUGUUAAGUCAGCGGUGAAAUUUCGGGGCUCAACCCCGGCAGUGCCGUUGAAACUGGGAGCCUUGAGUACAGAGCAAGUAAGCGGAAUUUGUGGUGUAGCGGUGAAAUGCAUAGAUAUCACGAGGAAUGCCGAUUGCGCAAGCAGCUUACUGUCUUGUCACUGACGCUAAAGCACGAAAGCGUGGGUAUCGAACAGG
rnacentral:rRNA from 2 species